rnacentral:lncRNA from 12 species
GGGGGGGGGGGGGGGGGGGGGGGGGGGGGGGGGGGGGGGGGGGGGGGGGGGGGGGGGGGGGGGGGGCAUCCUCACCAUCCUCACCAUCCUCACCAUCCUCACAUGCUCACCAUCCUCACCAUCUUCACCCUCCUCACCAUCCUCACAUCCUCACCCUCCUCACAUCCUCACAUCCUCAUCAUCUUCACAUCCUCACCAUCCUCACAUCCUCACCAUCCUCACAAUCCUCACAUCCUCACCAUCCUCACCAUCCUCACAUCCUCAUCAUCCUCACAUCCUCACCAUCCUCACAUCCUCACAUCCUCAUCAUCCUCACAUCCUCACCAUCCUCACAUCCUCACAUCCUCAUCAUCCUCACAUCCUCACCAUCCUCACAUCCUCACAUCCUCAUCAUCCUCACAUCCUCACCAUCCUCACAUCCUCACAUCCUCAUCAUCCUCACAUCCUCACCAUCCUCACAUCCUCACAUCCUCAUCAUCCAGGGUCAGACCUGCUGCCUCUCUGGGGUCCCAGCUGACAGAAUUCCACCAAGGACAGUCAGGAAUGGUGACAGUACCUGGGGACCAGCUCAGGCUGUGAUGGAGUCAUGGGAUGGUUUGGGUGGGAAGGGAGCUUAAAGCCCAUCCAGUGCCACCCCUGCCAUGGGCAGGGACACCUUCUGCUGUCACAGGGUGCCCCAAGCCCUGUCCAGCCUGGCCUUGGGCAGCCACAGC